AUGAAUUAAGGGGAUGGAGCUCCCCUUUGAAUUCUGUUAAUUUUACAGAUGAUGGCUCCUAUCUUUUA
rnacentral:ncRNA from 2 species